GACCCACGUGCAAAUCUAUUAACACAGGAGUCUUCUCUGCUUCCCAAACCAGGAAUCCCAGCCGCAGCCCCGGGGCCUGGAAACUCCGGCCAGUUUAUUAAAGUGCCUUCCCCGCCUGUGACCAUCAGGCAAAGGGAGAAUCUUACCGGGAAUCUCACUUCUAGCCAAUGAGGAAUUUUCAGAAAAGCGAAAUGGAAGGAAUCAUUUUGUCAUCUCUGCAAAUCUGUAUUCUGAAAGGUACUCGGAUAUCCACGAAGUCCUCCUCAUCUCGCACUAUCAUUUCUCUCACUGGGCACAAUCCAGCUUUAAAGAAUUCAACACUUACUGGUCUUCAGAGGACUGUCAGCAAUGACAGCAACCAGGGAUGCUGACAUGUCUUGUUGUUUACAAAGGAUGAGCACAAGGCCUUUUGGAUGAUUUGAUAAGCUCUGCAACUCCUCUCUCACUGUUUCUCACCUCUCUGGACCAACUGCCUUUGUGUGGUGGUGAAACUGAGAUUUUCAGAUCCAUGCAGCUUUAUGAAAUAUAUUAUGGAUGAAAUAUCAACCCACGUCUAUGUGCUUCCAGG